rnacentral:rRNA from 1 species
AAACCAACAGGGAUUGCUCUAGUAACGGCGAGUGAAGCGGCAACAGCUCAAAUUUGAAAUCUGGCGUCUUUGGCGUCCGAGUUGUAAUUUGCAGAGGGCGCUUUGGCAUUGGCAGCGGUCCAAGUUCCUUGGAACAGGACGUCACAGAGGGUGAGAAUCCCGUACGUGGUCGCUAGCCUUUACCGUGUAAAGCCCCUUCGACGAGUCGAGUUGUUUGGGAAUGCAGCUCUAAAUGGGAGGUAAAUUUCUUCUAAAGCUAAAUACUGGCCAGAGACCGAUAGCGCACAAGUAGAGUGAUCGAAAGAUGAAAAGCACUUUGGAAAGAGAGUUAAAAAGCACGUGAAAUUGUUGAAAGGGAAGCGCUUGCAGCCAGACUUGCCUGUAGUUGCUCAUCCGGGUUUCUACCCGGUGCACUCUUCUACGGGCAGGCCAGCAUCAGUUUGGGCGGUUGGAUAAAGGUCUCUGUCAUGUACCUCCUCUCGGGGAGAACUUAUAGGGGAGACGACAUGCAACCAGCCCGGACUGAGGUCCGCGCAUCUGCUAGGAUGCUGGCGUAAUGGCUGUAAGCGGCCCGUCUUGAAACACGGACCAAGGAGUCUAACAUCUAUGCGAGUGUUUGGGUGUCAAGCCCGAGCGCGUAAUGAAAGUGAACGGAGGUGGGAACCUUUCGGGGUGCACCAUCGACCGAUCCUGAUGUCUUCGGAUGGAUUUGAGUAAGAGCAUAGCUGUUGGGACCCGAGAGAUGGUGAACUAUGCUUGAAUAGGGUGAAGCCAGAGGAAACUCUGGUGGAGGCUCGCAGCGGUUCUGACGUGCAAAUCGAUCGUCAAAUUUGGGCAUAGGGGCGAAAGACUAAUCGAACUAUCUAGUAGCUGGUUCCUGCCGAUCU